AAAAAUAAAAACUAAAUAAAUAAUAAAAUACAUAAAAUGGAUAAUAAAAUGUAAAAAAAUGCAAUAUAAAAAAAUUUGUAAUAAAAAGUGACACUAUCAACCAAGACAGUAGGAGUCACCGUACCUAAAAAGCUCUAGACAUAGGGAAAAUCCAAAUUACAAACCAGAAAGUGGUAUCAAAUCAACACAUUAUAUUGCUAUAUACCAUAAACAAAUAUUAAGUGAUAAAAUCCUGUUUACAUGGUGUGGAUGUUUACUUGAAAUACAAAUUGCGAACUCGCAAAUCCCAAAGUUCACUAAAUACCCUGGAUUUUUACUUGCAAAAAAGGGAAAAAUCAAAACGGAAAAACUAGGAAAAUCAACUAAUUAUUGU
rnacentral:misc_RNA from 1 species